UACAGAGGUCUCAAGCGUUGUUCGGAUUCAUUGGGCGUAAAGGGUGCGUAGGUGGCGCCAUAAGUCAGGUGUGAAAUCUCGGGGCUCAACCCCGAAACUGCACUUGAUACUGUGGUGCUCGAGUACUGGAGAGGAGAUUGGGAAUUUACGGUGUAGCAGUUGAAAAUGCGGUAGAAUAUCGUAAGGAAGACCGUGGCGAAGGCGAAUCUCUGGACAGCUUACUGA
rnacentral:rRNA from 1 species